GCCCGCUUGGCUUAGUGGUAAAGCGUAUCACUAGUAGUGUUCUGGAACAUCCAGAUGUGCGGUGAUGAUAAGAUCGUCAGUUCGAUUCUGACAGUGGGCA
rfam:Gaeumannomyces graminis var. tritici R3-111a-1 unplaced genomic scaffold supercont2.3, whole genome shotgun sequence.